rnacentral:rRNA from 1 species
CCUACGGGAGGCAGCAGUGAGGAAUAUUGGUCAAUGGGCGCGAGCCUGAACCAGCCAAGUCGCGUGAGGGAAGACGGUCCUAUGGAUUGUAACCCUCUUUUGUCGGGGAGCAAAAGACGCCACGCGUGGCGUUCCGAGAGUACCCUAAGAAAAAGCAUCGGCAAACUCCGUGCCAGCCGCCGCGGUAAUACGGAGGAUGCGAGCGUUAUCCGGAUUUAUUGGGUUAAGGGGGUGCGAAGGCGGAAGUUAAAGUCAGCGGUAAAAUUGAGGGGCUCAACCUCGUCGAGCCGUUGAAACUGGUUUUCUUGAGUGAGUGAGAAGUAUGCGGAAUGCGUGGUGUAGCGGUGAAAUGCAUAGAUAUCACGCAGAACUCC